GCCGGGCGCGGUGGCUCAAGCCUGUAAUCCCAGCACUUUGGGAGGCCGAGACGGGCGGAUCACGAGGUCAGGAGAUCGAGACCAUCCUGGCUAACACAGUGAAACCCUAUCUCUACUGAAAAUACAAAAUUAGCCAGGCGUGGUGGCAGAUGCCUGUAAUCCCAGCUACCUGAGAGGCUGAGGCANNNNNNNNNNUGCCUCAGCCUCUCAGGUAGCUGGGAUUACAGGCAUCUGCCACCACGCCUGGCUAAUUUUGUAUUUUCAGUAGAGAUAGGGUUUCACUGUGUUGGCCAGGCUGGUCUCAAACUCCUGACCUCGUGAUCUGCUCGCCUU
rnacentral:SRP_RNA from 1 species